GCUGGAUUCUCACUCUCCACGGCUCUCUUCCUUUCCAAUCAGUCUGAAAAGGAUUUCCUCCACUUCUUGUUUGAAUUUUGAAUUCUAGGCUUCCUUGAGAAGCUGUUGAGCUCCUAAAUCUGGCUAUAAAUACAACCCUUUAGCUGUGUGUUUAAACAAGUUUUUUAAGGCUAAGAAAUCCCUCCUUUCGAACAAACUUUUCAAUUGGGAGAGAAUCCUCUUCUCUUAUUAUUUUUUACAAGCUUUCUCAGUGGAAAACCUCCUUCUUUCAUUUUAUGAGAACAAUUGGAAAAAUCCUUUUUUUUUUUAACGAGUCCACAACUAGAGAAAAUCUCUCUUUAAUCUAAGCUUUUCAUUUUUCAUAAAAAUCCCUUUUUAUCUAAGCUUGGAUUCUCAGAAAAUCAACUUUUAACUCUUAAGUCUUUUGGCUAUCUAAAAAUCUUCUUGAGUUCUGGGCUAAACAACAAACUACUUCGAGCGAAUUCGAGGUCUCGACAACGACAAUAGCCUCAAUUCGCUGUCUCGAAGAAUGUGACAUCUCCUAAUGCCUCAUGUCUGUAUAAAACCAACUCGAAUCUACCUCUUGUUUUCCAUGGUUGUUUGAUCCCUGCAUUUUCACUUUGUCAUGUCUUUGGAAUUAAGUAAAAUGGGCAAGUGCACAAACUGAACCUUCUUAGGUAGAAACCAUGCUGUGUGAAUUCAUGACCAAGUGGUAUUUCUUCUAUAUUGUGGGAGCAUUGGAGUUGUAGCAACCCCAUUUCUGCCCAGAAUAUGAUAAGCAGAGAAACAACAGUUGUGCACUCCGCUCGUGUCUAGCAGCCAUCAUUCGCGUCAAAAGAGUCCCCCAUCCUUCUUCCUCUCUCUAAAUUUCAUGUCUUUGUAUUGACUAAUAUUAUAUAUGUUGUUUGUAUCUUGACUAACAUUUUUAUGGACUUGUGUUGCAGCGUU